AUGCCACCAUUUCAUCCUAGUUUAAUCUUAGCCAUUAAUCUCCCACCAUCUAACGGUUGGGAACAAACCUCCCCUUCCCUUUAUUACUGUUUGAGUGAGACCCUCCCCCCUUAAAACCCUAGAAACUCACACAUAACUCGUCUCUCUCACCCCUCUCUCACUAUCCGCCGCCUCCGCCGCCGGAAAUCACCCUACGGCGACAGCCCAUCGCCAAAUAACCCCAAAACUUCACCAUAUAAUCCCAAGAUUCUUUCAUCACCAAUCUACCAUUAAUUCCCCUCAAUUUCCAUUAGAACUCCAUGAAUUUUAGAUCUUAAUCUAGGAAAAACCUAAAUCCACCCCUUUUCAAUUUUUUCUCAAAAAUCCCAAUUUGUUUGGGCUUAAAACCAAUGUCAAUCGACCGUUGUUGUUGAAUGUUACAAGUUGGCUUGGUUGUGUCUCGUUUCAAGGUCGUCGUUCAACUCGCCACUAGCUGGUCAGUUUUGUGGAAAGCCACUGUAAUUCUAGGUCCUUUUCCUUUUUCUUGGUUCAUUUUUGUCAUCUCUACUUGAAACACUGUCUACUCCCUUAAGCGUGAGUCAGUGUUCAUGUUGUGAUGCCUGACAUCCUCCAGAAUUUCCUUAUGUUCGAUGAUAUAUUGGUAAUCCUUUCCUCCUCCUUUUCAUUCCCUGAAUUAGCGGUUCUUUGUUUAAUUAUUACUUAAUUAUGAGUUCUUGUUUGACAACAUGUUUAGUUCAAUCAUUAAUUAUUUUAAUUGCCUAAUUAGUUAUUUGUCGAAUUUGAUGUUUGGUCAGUUUGUUGCUAUAGUUUCAAAUUGCAUAUUCAUUUAACAUGACAAUUGGCUAUUAAUUCAUGUUUAGUUGUGUUUGUUAGCUUGUUGAUAGUUUAAGCUUAGUUACUUCCUGAUUAAUGCUAUUAAGAGAAAGAAGUUUGGGAAAAAGAAGGGGUUAAAUGAAAGAUGGGUAAAUGCAGGGAUCUUGCAGGGUAGUUUAGGAAUUGAAAUUAAGGGAAUGUUAUAUGUAACUAUUUGAGAAAGUUCUAGAGACAGGACGAAGGAUUAAAGUGCAAUUAAAACCAGAAAUUAGGUCAGAUUUUGGGGUCAAAAGGGGAAUUUUCAGAAGCUAAAAGGGUUGAAAAAAAUAUAGACGAAUAUCUGAAUGGAUAGCUGUUGGACAACUGUCCAAUUCAGUUUUAAAAGAUGCUCUUUUCUUAAAAUUUAGGGACUGCAUUCUUAGAAUUAUUCCCUUAUCAUUUGGGCACAAGGCAGAUUUUAUUUUCUCUAUAUAAGGCCUUCUAUCUUCUUUCUCUCUCACACACACACGGAAAACCUCUCUGAAAUACAGACUCAUUUUCCUCAUUUUUGAGGCGAAUUUUGAGACUGAUUUUGAGAUUGAGGAAAACACUCAAAAAAACUUCCAUCAAGCUAAGUUUUAUUGUAGUUGUUUCUAUCUGUUGAUGCUGCUCUCGUUUAGUUGUAAAGUUAGGAUCACUGUUUGGUUUUCUCUAUUAGAUGUCUCUCCAUUAGUAGCUGAGCUUGUUUUCUUUGGAUUCUAAACCUUUAUUUGGUCAUUUCUUUUGUUUCUUUGCUUGAGAUAUGUAAAUCCUAAGCUUAUUCUUUUAUUUUGAAUCAUAGAUGAAAAUUUAUUGAAUAUAUGUUGGUUCUCACACUAACUAAGUGUUGUUUUGCCAAACUUUAAGUUCUAUUGCUCUAAUCUUGUUCUUGAUCGAUGUUUUGAUGAUGAAUAUGUUUUUCUCCGCUGAGAUUUUGAGUUGGCUAAUAGGCUAUUGAUGAAUUUGAAUGAUUUAGAAAAUCUAUUUGUUGUUUUUCAUGAAUCUAUGAGGGCUGUUUGAAUUUCAUUAAGUCUGUUUGUAUUGGAGGUUUUGCUUGGCAGAUUUUGAGCACUAUUGAAUUCAUGUGAGUCAUUCAACUAUUCCCUGUGUUAUUGUACGAGCUGCCAGAUUGUGGAAUUCAUCUUAUAAUAACAUUGGGAUUCAUAAUUAAUUAGUUCCAAUCUUAUAGCCUAUUUUUUUAUUUGAGUAGUUUCUUUUGGUCUCAAUUUGUAAUUAAGUGAACCUUCCUCCACUGAGUAGUGUAUCUCAAUCCAUUAGUGCACUAUUCAGUUAAUUCAAUUCAAAUUAAUAUUACAGUUUCAAAUGUAGAAUUAAAUGUAGCAUUUUGAUCCAGUAAUGUGAUUUUCAUAUCCCGAUAUUUGGAAGUUCGUCUAAAUCGCUGCUAGUUAUUGCCAUUUAAUUUGCUAGUUUCCAAACUUGUUUUGAUGUGUUUAUGGUAAGAAUUUGGUAAAUAUUUAUCAUGUUCAGUCAUUUAAUUGUAAACACUAUGUUGAAUGUAUCUAUCUAUUGCAUCUAAUUUCCUAUGGGGUUCAACAGCCAAAGAUUAUAUGAAUCAUGAAAAGAUGAGUCUUGCUUUAAUCUCUUUAAAAAUAUAGCUACUUUGUUUUCUUUUUUUUUUGUUGGAAAGAUAAAUAGUAUUAAACAUAAUUAAAGUUGCUACAGAGAGGGUGAUGCUGUCGCAUCUAAGUUAUAGUUUAUGUUUGGUUGAUCAUUACAGGGACUACUGCUAUCAAAACUAACAUUGUUAUCUAUCAUGGUAUCGCUAGAGGGAGCAUCCAUUUGUCGUUAAUUGUCCCAUUGUAGUUGUUGUAUCCAUGUUGUCUUCCUUAGGCGAGUGGCCUCUGCUCGAUCCCUUUGUAAAAAGAUUUUGACAAAAUCCGGUGGUUGUUCAGAAAUGGUUGCAGUUGUAGUAGAGUCGAUGUUGCACCCCGCUUUUGCUAAGCCAUCAGCCACCUCGUUCCCCUCCCUAUAGGUGUGCAUAAUAGUAGGACUAUGCAGCUUGUUUAGGAGGUGCCUGCAGCCAUGAAUUAUAUUAGUAUAAAGGAGGUUAUCUUGUCCCAACAUCCUGAUUACCUUUGUUGCAUCGAUGUUGAUUUCCAGGGGAACCAAAUGAUAUGUGUUUACCAAUUCUAGUCCAUAGAAUAGAGCUUUUAGUUCUUCUUGAACUAUGUUGGCACUGUCCAAAUUUUCUGCAAAACCUAUGAUUCAAUUUCCAUUGGAGUCACAUAUUGCUCCUCAUAUUCCUGCUUUCUGAGUUAAUGUUUCUACAGCCCCAUCCGUGUUUAAUUUAUAGUAGUUUGGUUUAGGAUGUAUCCAUUUAAUGGGAUGCAUUGAUGUUUGUUUUUUUAUGGUUACUCUCACAGCGAGGUAGGUGAAUUCAAGAGCAUGAUUAGUUACUUCUUUUUUAAGUGUUGAAGUAUUUCUUGCACAAUGGUAGUGUUAUCUUAGGCUCUUUUCCCCUCUUGGAAACUGGAUUGUAUGAGUCCAAUUAAUUUUGGUAAUAGAGGUUUUAACCUAUUGACAAUAAUUUUUGUAAUUAUUUUGUAAGUUGUGUUACAUAAGCUUAUAGGUCGAUAUUGAGUGAUUGCUACAACAUUUUUUACUUUUGAAAUUAGGCACAAAUAAGUUUUGUUAAUUUCUUCUAGUAUUUUGCUUUCCUUGAAAGCAUUAUGGCAACAUUGAAUAAGUGAUUGACUCACUUGUUGCCAAUAUGUUUGAAAAAAAUAUGGAUGAAGGACAUCCGGGCCAGGUACUUUAAAAUGUUGAAAGAGAAGAUUGCUUGCUUUAUUUCAAGUAGGUACACUGGUUUAGCCAAGUAUUGUAGAUCAUCGCAGUUUAAUGAAUUGAUUAUUGGGUAAUUUUUCAUGAUAUGCUUAGUGAAGCAGUGUUGUAUUGUGAAAAGGUCAGUGUAGUAUUGAAUUAUGGAGUUUUGUUGGAUCAAAAGUCCAAUUCCCUACACUGUCUUGUAAAGCGUUUAUGCGAUUACGUCUAUAUCUCUGUAAAGUAGACAUGUGGAAAAAUUUGGUGUUUGGAUCACCGUCAUUUAACCUAUAAAUUCUUGCUUUCAAUUUCCAAAAGUCUUCUUCUUACCUAAGUAAAUCACUAAAUUCGUGAGUUAGUUGUAUUUCUAAGGUCUGGAGGAAAUGGCUAGUAGGAUAGUAAAUUGAUUUUUGUAUGCCAUUAAUUCUAUUUAAUAAUUUCCUUUUUUUGGUGAAAAUAUUCCCAAAAGUAUGCUUGUUACAAUAAGUUGCAUUCUCCUUAAAAUUUGUCAAGGCUUCUACUAAAGAUGAGCUAUGUUGCCAUGACUGUUAUAUUACAUUAAUAAGGGAAGAGUUUUGUCCAAAUUUUUUCAAAAUGGAAUAUGUUAUUUCUAGGGACCCUAUUUUGUUGAAGUGUGACCAAAAUAGGACAAUGGUCAGAGUAUGUGCGUGGAAGAUGUUGAAAUACUGUUUCAGGGUAAAUUUGGAUCCAAUCACAGUUAGCUAGUAUUAUAUCCAAUCUCUCUAGAAUAUUAUUCCUAUUCCUACAUUUGUUUGUCCAUGUAUACUGACUACCCUUAAAUCCUAGGUCUAGUAAGUUAAUAUAAUUUAGACAUUGCGUAAAAGCAUCCACCCUUGUGUUGUUAAUAGGAUUGCUUCCAAAUUUUUUAUUUUGUCUAAUGACCUCAUUAAAAUCCCCUCCAACUAGCCAGGGACCCUUAUAAGAAUCAUGUACACAUUUUAAAUUAUGCCACAAUAAGCUACAUGAUUGAAUAGUAUUAUUUGCAUAAAUUAAGGAAAGCAACCACUUGGUAGUGUUAGGAAAUACCUGGACCAUGCAGUUUACCUCCUGUGUAGUCACUGUUAGUUCAUCCACAAUUACUAAAUCUACAUUCCAUAGUAAAGCUAUACCACCUGACAUUCCUUGCGCCUCAACUUGUACCAUGUGUGAGAAGUUAAAAUCAUUUUUUAAAACUGUAUGGUCAUGCAUGCGUGUCUCUAGUAGUGCAACUAAGACAGGUUUGUAGUUGUCCAACAGUGAUCUAAACUGUCGUCUAAAUUCUGCAUUAUUUGAGCUCCUACAAUUCCAAACGAUUAAAUUCAUAAUAGGUUGUGGAUUGUGUGGUUCAUCUUGGUCAGCUACUUCAGUUGUCCCUCCCAGUGGUGCUUGAGAGUUCUGAUGUGUUGGAGUAGUCAUUCUCAGAGGUGGUAUUAUCACCAUCGAGUAUUUUUCCUCUUGUUGCUUUGUAUUUACCCUGAAGUUUACACUGCAUGUUGUUAGGCAUGAUUUCUACAAAAAGGGGACUGAUUCUUAAAUUUAUGGAUAUAAUGUCUGAUUUUAGCCAUUUAGAUCCUAAAAACAUGUUGUCUAAGAGUGGCCAUAACAUGCAGAAAUUUGAAACAAGUCCUAUGGGAAUGUUAUCUAAAUGUUGAAUUAGACGUGCAGAAUUUAACGAAUCCUAUAGACAGGUUCUCUAAAUACAGAGUUAAACAUGCAGAAUACAAGUCAUAUAGGCAUGGCAUCUAAGAGUGGUAAUAAACAUGCAGAAAUUUAAACAAGUCCUAUAGGCAUGUCUUCUACCCUUCUACAGCUAAACAUGCAUAAUUACCCAUCCCGUUUCACUAGCCAACCCCAAUGUUUAUUACAACUUAUUAUAGAACAAAUAAUGAAUUGCACCAGAAAAAGUGUAAAGAAGAAGUUACAACCAGAGGAAGCCUGAUUCUUGACUUCCUCUCUGAGUUAUGGAAUAAACCACCUCAAAUGCCAUUGUUUCAAAGCCUUUCUCAGACUUGAGUGUGUCAAUGUUCCCUAAGGGUCUCAAGGGGACCCCGGGAAGUGCUCACACCCAAGUUUGUAUAACCAGAUAGAGAUGAGUGCAGUGUGGAAGGGCCAGCCCUUAUGUGUCCAAGUUCAGAGGAAGCUCAUGGGUCCCAAGGCGAGGCUCACAUAAGAGGGGGAGAACCUAAGUCUAAGAGUAUAGUGGAAGUGCAGAAGCAGAAAUUUGUUUAAAACUGGGUUGAGAAUAGCAAGGGGUAAGGAUAGUUUGGAAAACAGUAGUAGUAUAGCCAAAAUUAUAGAGCAUCAGUAAUUGCUCAAAGGGGGCAGGGGUUUGGGAAUAUAUUGCAGGUAGCAUAUGACCCUAGGAGGAGUCAAAUCUGGACAUGCACAACAAUAAGUAAUGCUGGCAUGCCCAUAAACCAGCCAGAAGACACAACACAUAGAGAGGACACGAAGCAUAUGAUCCUGGGAGGGUCAGGUUUGGGUCAUGCACAACAAUGUCUAAUGUUGACAUGCCCUCAAACCAACCAAGGAAUACAAAUACAUAAGGGAUAUGGGGUGUGGGAUUCAUAAGUCAUCAUAGGUGACUGACAGAGUUCAAACAUUAGAAAAAACGUUAAUUCAGAAGAGGAGGGGGCAGAUCACAACAUGCUUAAUAAUGGAACUUGAUUAAACACAAACGGGAAACAAGCAAGAGUGCAAGAAAUAGUAAAGAAGCAUGUUGUUAUUGAUGCUGAAGAUUAAUUAGAACAUACCAGUAAAGAAGCAAAUGCAGAAAGAAAGUAUGCAAAUUUCCCACAGUCUAGCCUUGGAUUUUAGCCGGCUAGGUAAGGUAGCAACACAAGUAGUAACAAAGAAAAGAGAGAGAGUUUUGAGUGAAGUGUGUGUUCUAAACUCAAGUGUUCGUGUCGUUUUUCUUUGAAAGAAGAGGGGUGCAGGGUAUUUAUAGUUUUUGAAAACGAGUGAAGGAAAAGUAAUAAGAUACAAACCUAGAAACAAUCAUAGGUCAGAAUCAAUUGCACAAUUGAUUCCCUUUAAUUAAGGAAUCAUUGUUUAAUGGUAGUGACAGAUUCAAAAUAAGGGAAGAAAGUUAGUCUGUAAGCAGACUGAUUAUUGCCAUAAAAGGAGUAGUAAAACCAUUAAGUAAGCAAUCAAGUCUCAGUAUAGAGAUAUGCUUAUUUUGGGAAAGAAAUCAGCAAGGUAAAUAUCAUAGUAAAGGAAAAGAAUCAAUCAGCUUUUAAUAGGAGAGUGAAAUUAGGGUUCAUAAAGGAAAAGCUUUAGAAAUCAAUCAUAAGAUAAAGAUCAAUCAAGGAAGAAACUCCAGCAUAUAAAUAGAGUGAACAAGACAUCAGACAUGCGAGGCCAAACGUAUUGGCAAAAGAAACAGCAUACAAUAGCAGCAAGAAUAAGCAUACGGUUCAGUAGAUAGUUAGGGCUCACACAUAUAGCCAAAGCAAAGAAGAGAGUCAAAAGCAAGCAAAGGUCUCACAGUAACAAGUGAGGAAACCUCUUGAAAAAGUUAGGGUUUCAACAACUGUUGAGUUUAAAGGAUAGUAAAAUCAGAAUCAAAUAACCACAUAAAGAAAAGAGCCAGAAACAAAGAACUGUAAUCGCAUCACGUGCAUGCUCAAACAAACAGUUCCAAGCCAAGAAGACCUAGGGUUUUCAGCAAUACUCGAGUUUAAAAGAUGGUAAACAGACAAGUCAAGCAAGAGUUUAAACAAACAAGCACACAUCUAAUAAUUAUCUUCAGGACUCGAUUGAGACCCAAAAGAAAUUAGGGUUUUCAACAUGCUAACUCAGAUAGAAGAACAACACGAGCAAAACAUAGCAGAAUCACAAAUAUGUUAAAAUCAUAGAAGGGAUUUUGAAAUAAUUUAAAAGAAAAACCCUAAUCGGAAAAGAUAUAGAGUCGUUUUGAAAGAAAAGUUAAAGAAACUUCGAGAAAAUGUUUAAAAGUUCAAGGUAAUCACAGAUCUGAAGCAGAUCGGAAAGAAAGUUAAAAGAUCUUAAAGAUUAGGGUUUUGAAAAACCUAGAAAAGGUGAGAAAGGUCCUGAAAGUUAUCGAUCUAACCAAGAGAGUCAAGGUUCUGACUCGAACGCCCAUUGUUGGCCGCAGAAAAGGUCAAGGAUAACCGGAGAAGAGCCAUGAACUGAAAUCGAACAAGGACUGGACCAGGCUCCUUCAAGUAGUGGCCGUGAAACCACAAGAACAAACACAUAGAAGCUAUGGAAGGCUGGUACAAGUCUCAAAUGACCAUGGAAGGCCAUGGGUUAGGCACAUAUCAGGGUAGUGUGAGAGGGUGGAGGCUAGGGUUCAUUAGAGUUUCAGAGAGAGUUGAGAGAGAAGGGGAUUCAAGGGCGGCGGUAGGUGAGAAAUGAAUUAGGUUUAGGGGUUGGUUUGGGUUAAAAAUGGUAUGGGUUAAUGGGAGCCGUUGAUCUAAACGAUCAACGGCUAGGAUUAAAGUGGUUAGGUGGGAAACCCCGAGUUAGGUCAUUUAAACGGAUAAAGGGUCGAUUUAAUUUGAAAUUGGGUCGGGGUAAAUUGGGGUUCAAAUUAGGUUGAAAUUGAAAUGAAAUCUGGCUAGAUUAUAAAUAACCAUUUUCCCUCAUUUAUUUUAAAAAAAAUAGCAAAUUAAUUUCUGGAAUUAAAUUGAAAGUACUAUAUUUUAUAACAUAUAAUUAUCAUUUUAAAAAUAUUGGACUUAAUUUUUAUAAAUGUAAACGCAAUUAAAUCUUAAAAGAGACUAAUAUUUUAAUUAUAAGCAAUUUGCCUUUGAAAAUACUAAAUAAAUUUGUAAAAAUAUGCAAAAAUUAUCUUAGCUAUAUUUUCACAUAAAUAUGAGAAACCAAUAAAUGAAUUAUUAAUAGGAUAAUUUUGGGAAUUAUUAUUGGAUUUUUUAAAAUAGGGAAAUAAAUUGGUUUAAAAAUAUUUAAAAAUUAAGGUAAAAUAAUAAAGCAUUUGGACAUACUUAUAUAUGCACACAUAUGAUAUUUUGAAAUUAUUUUGCAUAUUUAAAAAAUAUAUAGGGAAAAAUUGGGUAUCAACAAUUGCCCCUCUUUACCCUGGAAGGAUGAAAGAGUUGUCAGGUAAAGAUAUGAUGGUCAAUUUUGACCGAGCGAAACGGUUCGAAGAGGUUUAGGCCGCGCCUUGACUUCUGAGCUGCCUACAUAUCCUUGGUCUUAUAGGAAUCAGGCCAUAUAUAGUUUCGGAUCUGUCGGCGGUGUAUGCCAAUGGAGACUCUUCAGAAACGAACGCAAUAUCCCAGACGAGGUGAGUGGACGGCUUGUGGGAACGGUUAAAGUUUGGUAUGGCUGCGGGAACUGGAGAGGGCUUGCUCCUGCCAGGUUGGUCGUUGCUCGUUGGUGUACCUGCAAUUAGAAACAAUACAAGCGUAUAAUGUGUAUGAAUUUAAACGUGAUGCAAGUUCUCGUCGGACCAUGAAUGUUGUCUUUGGAAGGUUAGGAUGAUAUUCUGGGCCAUGAAUCAUGCAACAAAGGAUUCACAAGCCAUGAAAUGAUGCUCUCGGGAUAUGAGGAUGGUGCCUCCGAACUAUGAUGCCUUUGAAUAAUGAUACGCAAAAAAAUUAGAAGGGAUCCUCAGGCCAUGACAUGGUGUUCUCGGGCUGUGAAAAUGGUGCCUCCGAACGAUGAUGCCUUUGGAUAAUUUGGCAAUCUUUCAGCCUAUGAAAUGCAGUAUGUGGCGAUCUUUCAGCCCAUGAGAUGCAGUAUGUGGCAAUCUUUUAGCUAUGUAAUGCAGUAGGUGGUGAUCUUUCAGCCAUGCAAUGCAGUAGGAGGCAAUCUUUCAUCCCAUGAUAUGCAGUAUGUGGUAAUAGAACUCUCUUAGAUGAUAGUUGAUUGCGAUAUUGUGACUUCUGGGGACCUUGUGACAUACAGAAUAUCACUGGUGUGUGUGGACAGCAGAUGUGGGUAAGUGCAACGAUUUUGAGAGUUUUAUUCCUGAACAAUGUUUGUCUCGUGAGUGUAUAGUAUGUUUGAUGAUUUCUCAAUUCAAAUGCUUGCAUCCAAAGAAAAACCGUGAGUUUUGUAAAGGGCAAAAGUUAGUUUGUAUCCCUGCUGGCCCUGUUUGACUUGCUCGACUUUGAUCUGGUGAUACUCUAUGUAUCAUUGGGGUAGCGUUGCUAAACAAAGCAAUUUCAGUAAUAUGCAUGAUUUUGUAAAAAUAUGACAUGAUAAUAAUAAUUUUUUUAGAUGAAUCGAUGACUGUGACGCAGUUCGGGACAUUGCAACCUCUCAUGCUAUAGAAUUUUGAGGGUCCUCAAAAUUCUGCCCCGAUUUCCAAUUACGGGGUGGGGGGGGAAUGAGAUUUUUAUUGAAUUGUGACCGAGGCCAUAAGGUUGCCUACGUAUCCCCUCUUAAAUAGGAAUCAGGUCAGGCAUAGUUCAAAAUUACAUCAUAAAAGGGAAGCAUAAGGAUUACACAUAGUAGUGCUUAACUGCAUCUGAGUUGAUUGGUUUUGGCAAGACUUCUCCAUCCAUUUCUGCAAGUAUGAGGGCUCCUCCUGUCAAAAUCCGGUGAACCAUGUAUGGACCCUGCUAGUUGGGAGAGACUUUCCUUUUGGCUUCAUCUUGAUGCGAAAAAAGUUUCUUCAAUACCAGCUGUCCUGGUGUGAACUGUCUCGGCUUGACUCUUUUGUUGAAGGCUCUGGACAUUCUGUUCUGAUAGAGUUGACCAUGGCAAACUGCAUUCAUUCUUUUUUUUGUCUAUAAGGGCUUGUUGCUCAUAACGACUUUUCACCCACUCUGCAUCGUCGAGCUCAUCUUACUGUAUGAUCCUUAGGGAAGGAAUUUCUACCUCAAUGGGAAUGACUACCUCAGUACCAUAAACCAGCAUAUAGGGGGUUGCCCCGGUUGAUGUGCGGACUGUGGUGUGAUACCCUAAUGGAGCAAAUGAUACCUUCUCGUGCCACUGUCUGUGAUUCUCUAUCAUUUUCCUCAUACAUCCAGAUCUGAUUAUAACAAGCGAAGCAAUCUACGAAUGGCUAUAGCUCAUGCUUGGCGCAAUUGUCAAUCAGGAUGUAUAUAUUUGGAAAAGGGAAGUCGUCUUUCGGACUGGCCCGGUUGAGAUCCCGGUAGUCGAUGCAUACUCUAACCUUCCCAUCUUUCUUUGGUACUAGCACGAUUUUGGCUAACCAUGUCGGGUAUUCUACUACCUUGAGAACCUUAGCUUUGACUUGCUUAGUGACUUCUUCCUUGAUUUUCAAACUCAUAUCAAGCUUGAACUUUCUGAGCUUUUGCUUUACUGGAGGACAUGUCAGAUCGAUUGGCACUUUGUGAGCAACAAUAGACGUACUCAGACCAGUCACGUCAUCAUACGACCAUGCAAAUAUGUCCUCAUAUUCCUUCAGGAAUUCUGUAUAUUCUUUCUUUUCUGAUGGUGAUAGGUGAACGCUGAUUUUUGUUUCCUGGAAAUUCUUUGUAUCUCCCAGGUUGACAAUUUCGGUCUAGUCCAGGUUGGACUUAGGUAUGUUCUCAAAGUUCUCAACUUCUUUGACAAUCUCCUCUGGUAUGUCAUCUUCCUCUGAAUCAAUGUCCGUUUGUUGCGUUGUCUCAUUGUAUGUCACAGUCAUUGGUUCAUCAAGAUAAGUAAUAGUAAUGUUGUAUAAGUAAAGUAACGAGAGAAAAAUAAUAAUGAGUGUUGAUUCAUAAGAAAAGUCGAAAUGCUUUGAUAAAUUGCAUAAUCGUUUUGAACAUUGGAGAUCUUAUUGCGGGAAUUAAAAUGCAAAAGGAAAAUUAUUUAGUAAAUAAAAACAGUGCAUGAUGCUUGUUUUAGCCUUGCUACCCCGAGGCUCAUCGGGCUCUGGUUAUCCUAAUGGUCUAGUUAUUGAGGUGUGCCCCUCUGCUUACGGCCUGUAUGGAAGGGCCUUCCUCCCCCUCCUCCUCGAUAACAACACAACAGUCCAUAUUAUUGUCUUUUAGGAACAAGUUCUGCAUCGAUGCUAGUGCUUCUUCUUCGUCUAACCCAUAAAUAAUAUCGGCUAGUUGGAAGGUCUGCUUCAGAUGUGGUAUUGGCUGCUCUAGUAGAUAGUAAGGACCACGCCAUGGUGGUGACCAGUUGUGGAAUUCUUCGCAGGGGUACUCAUAUCCCAGACCAAAAGUAGUGCCAUGUUUCUUGAGCUUUAUGGGCUUAGCGAUUCCUUGGAGGUUCUUUCCGAGCCCCUUGCCAGGUUCGUGCCCCACUCCAAUUCAGUAUACUCUCGAUCUUGUUAUCCCAUCAUUUGUCUUUGUCAACAACAUUUUCCCGUUCAAUGUGAUGGUAAGUCUCUCCACCUAGUUUCCUUAUUCCUCCAAUUGUCGGAAUGGUCUGGUGAGUGUAUAUAGAGUUGCUACCGUCACCGUGAAUGAUCACUUCCUGGUGAUUCCAUUCGAACUUUACUGCCUGAUGCAGAGUUGAUGCUACGGCCCCAGCAGCAUGAAUCCAUAGCCGUCCCAACAGCAAGUUGUAAGAUGCUGGCACAUCUAUCACCUGGAAAUCAACAUCAAACUAGGUUGGCCCCAUUUGCAAGCAUAGACUAAUCUCCCCAAUGGUGGACCUUUAGGAACCAUCGAAAGCUUUUACAUUGAUAGCUCCAUCUUUUAUCUGGUGCAGUCCUUUACCCAACUUCUUGAGUGUUACCAAUGGACAAAUGUUGAGGCUAGAACCCCCGUCGAUCAGGAUCCUGGUGAUGGAAAUAGUCCUCGCAUUGCACGGUGAUAUGUAGUGCCUUGUUAUGCCCUAGCCCCUCGGGCGGCAGCUCAUCCUCAUGAAAAGUCGAUCUUAUGGCUCUCCAACACAUGUCCUACCAUGUUAGCCAUUUCUCCUCCUGUGAUGUUUCUUGGUACAUAUGCUUCACUUAUCACCCUUAGUAGAGUGUUCUUAUAUGCCUCAGAAUUGUUUAGCAAAGCAAGAAUGGAGAUUUGCACUGGUGUUUUGUUCAACUAGUCGAUGACCGAGUAUUCCUUGUCCUGUAUCUUUCUCCAAAGAUCUUCUGGACCUGUCUCAAAGAUGGGUGACCGAUUGGAGGCUUGCUUGCUUGACUCAGCUAGAUGUUCUGGGGUAUAGACUCUACCAGUUCUUGUCAUACCCUGUGUUGCAACAGUCUCUUCGAACCUAACCCUGCCUUUCCUUCUUGCCCCGGCUAUAUAUUCCUAGGGUACAACCUUUCUAUGGAAUGGUGCCAUGGUCGACAUCACCAUUGGGAUCGGAGCACGUGCCUUGGAUGGUAAAACUACAACUUCAAACGGUGCGGGUGCAUUUGUCGGAGACAUGAAUUCGACCCCAAUUGUCACAGGUAUCUUUGCAGAUGACGUUGCUUCAAACUCAAGUGGCACAGACAUAUUUACCUCGGCGUCCAAGGUGGAUGAAUCUGGACUAUGAUUGGAUUAAGAGCAACUAUUGGUUUCUUUGGGUCAUCGCCUUCUACGAUCAACCCAAUUGAUCCCUCGAGAUCCCAGUCAUCUUCUAUUUCAAUCAUGUGGAUGCCUCCACCCUUAUGAUCGGGCAAAGGAUUAUUGCAGACAUUUGGAGUGGGUUCCUUUGCCACAAUAAUCUUGUUACCAAUUAAAGUCUGGAUCUUGUCUUUCAAGGAAAUACAUUCAUCGAUAGUGUGCCCUUUCAAGCCGAAGUGGCAUGCACAGGAUUUGUUUGGGUUAACCCACUGAGAAUGGUUCUCGGGAGUUGCAGCAGAGAUGGGGGUGACAUAACCAGUAGCUUUGAGUCUCCCGUAAAACUGGUCAAUAGGCUCAACAAUGGCUGUAUAUUGUUUUGGAGGUCUACGAUCAAAAUUUUGUCGAGGUCUAGGGAAGUUUUGACAGGAGGGAGGUGACUGAUAGUGGGAUGGUUGAGCAUUGUAAGUUUGGUAGAAAUGUGCGGGUUGGGAAUAUCUGGGUGAAGUAGGCUGAUAUAUGGGCGGUGGAGGUGAUUGACAAGUGGGUGGUGGAGCUUGAUAUGAGGGUGAUGGUGCUUGGUAGUUCGGAGUCGGUUGAUAUGUGAGUGGAGGUGUUGGGUAAGUUUGGUAUUUGAUGGGAGAUUUGGUUCUCUAUGAAACCAUUACGGCCCCCACGUCCCUUUUCUUGGACGCACCACCAGACUGUAAGGCUUUAUUUGUAGCUUGCAAGGCCUCGAAGUUUGUAACCAUACCACUUUUGAUGCCCUCUUCAAUCCUUUCACCUAGCUUGAUAAUGUCGGAAAAUUUGUGGCUCUCAAUAAUCAUCAGUCAUUCAUAAUAUUGUGGGUCCUGAGCCCGAACAAAACAUUUGUUCAUUUCCUCUUUUAAGGCAGUUCUGACCUUAGCAGUUUUGGACCUCUAACGAGUAGCAUACUCGUGAAUUAUUUCUGUGGGCUUCUUCUUUAGAUUCUGAAUAUAGAACACGUCCGACACAUUCUCUGUGUUAAACCUGAAUCUGCCCAUAAUGUCGGAUGCCAUGCCUACCCAGUUUGACGACUUCUUUGGAUCUUGGUUAAUGCACUGAGACAAAGUAUCUCCCGUCAAACUCCUCAUGAACAGAUUCAUGCGGAUUCUCUCGUCUUUCCCUACUCCAACCAGCUUGUCACAGUACGUUCUCAAAUGGACCCUUGGAUCCCCUGUACCAUCAAACAUAUCAAACUUAGGAGGUUUGUACCCCUUGGGCUGUUCGACAUCGGGCUGUAUACAAAGAUCUUCAUAGUUCAGCCCCUCAAUUCCCUUGCUUCCUUCAACGCCUUGAAUCCGGCUAGUCAAUUUCUUAAUUUCUCAGCCAGGUUCUUGAUGAGUAAGUCUUUAUCAUCAGACUCGGGUAUGCUUGAGAUAGGUUGGGUGGAGUGUGGCAUGGUCUCCAUAUAGUUGGGUGUGUUAUGUGGGUGUGAAAGUGGUCAUUUGUGGAGUUUUGGGGUUUUGGGAUGACUAGUGGAGUGUUGUUUGGGAGAUGGCAGGUGUUGCAGUGUUGGUGAGGAGCGGAAUGGUUCGGCAGUUUUUGGAUAUUCUGCAGAGGUGUGGGGUUCUGAGCAUUUGGGAAAUUGAUAUCUGGAGUGGUGGGGGAAAAUGACUGAUUUUCCAAGUUCCGAACCUGAUCAAGCUCUUGUUGGAAUUUCAGUAGUUUUUGUUCAAGUUGAGAUGCAUUUUCCUUAUAAACCUGAGUACCAUGACCAUUAGUGGCCUCUACCCGUUAAGUUGAAUUCUCCUUUCUGAUGUAUUUCAAAUCUUCCAUCUUGCCUUUGUUCUUGUUUUUGACAUGACUAAGAGGAGGAGUGGGUGGAGGGCCCCUGGAUUUCGUGGAAUAGGAUGAUGUUGCCAAAGUGCAUGAACUAACCUUUGGGGAGGGGAAUAAUAAAAUAAAAAGGUAACAAGUUAGUAAGGAUUAUAAUAAGUGUUGCAAUAUUUAAACACAUAGUGCGGAAUGUUAAACGUGUCCUAAUUUGGGAACCUCUUUGUGCCCAAGGUAGACCUAGCGACAAAUUAAUAUGGAGAACUUAGAAUGCUAAAUUUCUCAUUUUAUUGAUAGAAAAUAAGACUAAUCCAAGUUGACACUAAAUAAAUAGGAAAUGAAAAAAAAAUCACUAAUGGCCAUUAGCCUUAUUACAUUUUAUAACAAAAAGAGAAACUCCUAUCUACUUAGUCCUAGAGUGACCUUCCCCAGAUCGGCAUCUUUGGCUCCAUCAAACAGCUUCCCCAACUCGCGAAGUCCCAGCAAUAGGUAAGCUCUGGCUAGAUGUCCGUCUUCGUUUGCUUCAGCAUUUUGGCAGUUUUCGACCCUCUUGAGAAACUUUCUUUCUAGUUCCACUAUGCCUCGCUUCAAAUAUCUCAGUCGAUUGUUGGCACUGACAGCCAUGUCCUUCCUUUCCUCAAUUAGCUUCUAGUUGGACUCUUGUAUCUCGCGGUGCUCGCUUUCGUACUCCCGGAUUCUUUUGUGCAGUUGGCUGUACUUGACCUGUGCCUCGACUCUUUCAUCUAUAAUCCUGUGACCUCGAGCAAACCUUAGCUGGCCUAGACUAUCAUGAUUGUCUUCCAACCAACCUGAGUAGAAAGGAGGGCAACCAGCAUGAUACCUAUCUGGUUCGAUGGUAUCUCUCCCCAUUAUGAUCUUGCAGUGCCACAUAUGCUAAGCUUUGCACUUGUAAGGACUAUCAUCAUUCUAGAAAUCAGCCCGGAAAUGACUCAUCUUGUCGACUCUAGGUAUAACCUGCUUCCUACCAGCUUGUCUCAUAACUCGGAGAGGGACGAAUGGUAUGUUCCUCUCAGCCCAAUCAAUAUCAGGAAAGGUGCAUCUCGGGAUCAGGCGACGAACUCCUCGGUCGGGAACCACUCGAACAUCCAUUGGACCUGUUCUUCAGCCAUGUCGCGCCCCCUUUUCUCGCGAAAUCAUGUAUAUGACAUUUGGUAUGGGACAACUCAAUCCUUUCAGGAAUUGGGUUUUGCAUUUUUGAAGAGUUGCCACCUAAUGAUUUAAGGUGCAUUAGGACACCAAUGG
rnacentral:lncRNA from 1 species